rnacentral:rRNA from 1 species
GCGCGCAAAUUACCCAAUCCCGACGCGGGGAGGUAGUGACAAUAAAUACUGAUACAGGGCACAUUUGUGUCUUGUAAUUGGAAUGAGUACAAUUUAAAUCUCUAACGAGGAACAAUNGAGGGCA